rnacentral:tRNA from 1 species
GUUUAGGAAAAUUUAGCCUAGUGGACAUGGCAUCUGCCCGGUAAGCGGAACACUGUGGGUUCGAUUCCCAUCCCUGGACU